UCACGUGGUGUAGGUAGUAUCAUGUUGUUGGGUAUUUACAACAUCCUCGACAACGCGUCACUGCCUUCACCACGCCA
rnacentral:pre_miRNA from 1 species